rnacentral:rRNA from 2 species
CAGAUGCUAAUACCGCAUAAAACCUAACACCGCAUGGUGUAGGGUUGAAAGAUGGUUUCGGCUAUCACUUUAGGAUGGACCCGCGGUGCAUUAGUUAGUUGGUGAGGUAAAGGCUCACCAAGACCGUGAUGCAUAGCCGACCUGAGAGGGUAAUCGGCCACACUGGGACUGAGACACGGCCCACACUCCUACGGGAGGCAGCAGUAGGGAAUCUUCCACAAUGGACGAAAGUCUGAUGGAGCAACGCCGCGUGAGUGAAGAAGGUUUUCGGAUCGUAAAACUCUGUUGUUGGAGAAGAAUGUAUCUGAUAGUAACUGAUCAGGUAGUGACGGUAUCCAACCAGAAAGCCACGGCUAACUACGUGCCACAGCCGCGGUAAUACGUAGGUGGCAAGCGUUGUCCGGAUUUAUUGGGCGUGAGCGAGCGCAUGCGGUUUCUUCGUCUGAUGUGAAAGCCUUCGGCUCACCGAAGAAUGCCUCGGAAACUGGGAAACUUGAGUGCAGAAGAGGACAGUGGAACUCCAUGUGUAGCGGUGAAAUGCGCAGAUAUAUGGAAGAACACCACUGGCGAAUGCGGCUGUCUGGUCUGUACUGACGCUGA